CUGUAAAAAAGAGGGAGCUUGUAGCACAGGCUGAGAGGAAAGUAAGACUUUCGACCGUUACCUGAUUUGGAUAAUGCCAACGUAGGGAUCAUUCUUGUUUUUAAU
rnacentral:ncRNA from 2 species